UACGUAGGUGGCAAGCGUUGUCCGGAUUUACUGGGCGUAAAGAGCGCGCAGGCGGUCGUAUAAGUCGAAUGUGAAAGCCCCCGGCUCAACUGGGGAGGGUCAUUCGAUACUGUUCGACUCGAAGGCAGGAGAGGGAAGUGGAAUUCCGGGUGUAGUGGUGAAAUGCGUAGAUAUCCGGAGGAACACCAGUGGCGAAGGCGACUUUCUGGCCUGUUCUUGACGCUGAGGAGCGAAAGCGUGGGGAGCGAACAGG
rnacentral:rRNA from 1 species